rnacentral:rRNA from 1 species
CUACGGGGCGCUCCAGUGAGGAAUAUUGCACAAUGGGGGGAACCCUGAUGCAGCAACGCCGCGUGGAGGAUGACGCAUUUCGGUGUGUAAACUCCUUUUAUAUGUCAAGAAAAUGACGGUAGCAUAUGAAUAAGCACCGGCUAACUCCGUGCCAGCAGCCGCGGUAAUACGGAGGGUGCAAGCGUUACUCGGAAUCACUGGGCGUAAAGGACGCGUAGGCGGGAUAUCAAGUCAGGUGUGAAAUCCUACAGCUUAACUGUAGAACUGCACUUGAAACUGGUAACCUAGAGUAUGGGAGGGGGAGAUGGAAUUAGUGGUGUAGGGGUAAAAUCCGUAGAUAUCACUAGGAAUACCUAAAGCGAAGGCGAUCUCCUGGAACAUAACUGACGCUAAGGCGUGAAAGCGUGGGGAGCAAACAGGAUUAGAUAACCUGGUAGUC